rnacentral:rRNA from 1 species
UACGUAGGGGGCAAGCGUUGUCCGGAUUUAUUGGGCGUAAAGCGCACGCAGGCGGUGCAGUAAGUUCAGAGUGACAGGUGGUGGCUUAACUACCACAGGCCUCGGGAAACUGCUGCACUUGAGGGCUUGAGAGGGACGCGGAAUUCCAGGUGGAGCGGUGAAAUGCGUAGAGAUCUGGAAGAACACCAAAGGCGAAGGCAGCGUCCUGGCAAGUCACUGACGCUCAGGUGCGAAAGCUAGGGGAGCGAACGGG